rnacentral:rRNA from 1 species
CCCUUGUAGACUACAAGGUUGAUAGGCCGGGUGUGGAAGCCCAGUAAUGGGUGAAGCUAACCGGUACUAAUUGCCCGUGAGGCUUGACCAUAUAACCCAAAGCAGUCUGGG